rnacentral:lncRNA from 1 species
GGCUUAUAACUCAAAACCCAAAGCAUUUAGAGCAAAUCUGACGGGGUAAAAUUGUUUAUCAGUUCAAGAUCUAUCUGCCCUGAAAUUUUCAGAUGAAUCGGACAACCCGUUGUUGGGUUGCUGGCCCUGAAUUAGUAAUUUUAAGGAAAUUUUGCUCUUUUUGGUUAUUAUCUUGAAUAUUAUUAUAGAUAGAGAUAAACUAUAAACAGCAAUAAUGUUCACCAAAGUAAGAUUUACAAAUAAGUCAACAUGACUGAAAUGGUC